CUGACGAGUCCCAAAUAGGACGAAAUGUGCGUC
rnacentral:hammerhead_ribozyme from 1 species